UCCGGCUUGCCGCCGGCAGUCCCUCCAGAGUGCCCAACUAAAUGAUGGCAACUGAAGGCAAGGGUUGCGCUCGUUGCGGGACUUAACCCAACAUCUCACGACACGAGCUGACGACAGCCAUGCAGCACCUGUCACCGGCCAAUUGAAGAGCUCCGUCUCCGGAGCCCCGACCGGGAAGUCAAGGGCUGGUAAGGUUCUUCGCGUUGCCUCGAAUUAAACCACAUGCUCCACCGCUUGUGCGGGCCCCCGCCAAUUCCUUUGAGUUUUAAUCUUGCGACCGUACUCCCCAGGCGGGAGGCUUAAUGCGUUAGCUGCGCCACUGACAGGCAAGCAUGCCAACGGCUAGCAUCCAUCGUUUACGGCGUGGACUAC
rnacentral:misc_RNA from 1 species